rnacentral:rRNA from 1 species
AAUUUUGGACAAUGGGGGAAACCCUGAUCCAGCCAUCCCGCGUGUAUGAUGAAGGCCUUCGGGUUAUAAAGUACUUUUGGCAGAAAAGAAGAGGUACCUCCUGAUCCGAGGUACUGCUGACGGUAUCUGCAGAAUAAGCACCGUCUAACUACGUGCCAGCAGCCGCGGUAAUACGUAGGGUGCAAGCGUUAAUCGGCAUUACUGGGCGUAAGGCGUGUGUAGGCGGUUCGGAAAGAAAGAUGUGAAAUCCCAGGGCUCAACCUUGGAACUGCAUUUUUAACUGCCGAGCUAGAGUAUGUCAGAGGGGGGUAGAAUUCCACGUGUAGCAGUGAAAUGCGUAGAUAUGUGGAGGAAUACCGAUGGCGAAGGCAGCCCCCUGGGAUAAUACUGACGCUCAGACACGAAAGCGUGGGGAGCAAACAG